AGAUGAGAGCCAGGACAGGGACCAGAAGACAUUGUAGUUCUCACAAGUGCAGCAGAUGAAGGGGGACUCCCUUCCUCUGUCUGAGCAGUGAGCUAGAGAUGGGUGUGAGGGGUGGGGCCCAGGGCUGGUGAGGUCAAGGUCUUGGGCUGCUGAAGAAAAUUGGCUUUGCUCUUUUCUGACUUCAUGUUUUGGUUGUCCCUGGCCAGUCCAGCUGCGUUCCCUGAGGAUGUGCUGCCGUGGAUGCUGCUGUGAGUAUCACUAUUGCCAUUGUUACCGGUAACCAUUUACAAGCACCUGCUAUGCACCAGGUACCCAGCAAAAUCUGAUGAUGUGCAAGCAAUGGGAGAGUCACACAGUGGACAACCAACUGCAACAAUCCCAGGAGCAAAGUGCUAUGGGACCACAGAGGAAAGAAGAAGAGCUGGAAGGACUGACAGGCUCCGGUGGCCACCCUACAACCAGAAGACAGACACCUGACAAUGUAUUGUCAGAUGACGGAUUAGCCAAGCCUGGGGAAGAGAGCUGAGUGUGCAGCCUCCCUCCCAGUCUCCUGGGUGACAAAGCCGCUGGAUGACCCCGCCAACAAUAAUGAGAUGAAAAUGAAGAACACUGCAGUAUAAUAAGCAUGAUAAAAAUAGAGAUGUUGCUAAAUAAUGGGUCGGCCAUGGCUAAGGAGCAGGAGAAAGACCCAAGCCCAAAGGAGGUGGAUAAGGCCUUCCUGUGUGGUCUCCAAGCCUGACCCCCUGAUGUAUUGCUGUUGCUCAACUAGGCCAUAGAUGGUUUUGAGUCUCUAGUGUGGCAAAGAUGUCAGAGAGGGACUAGAGGGUGGGCCUAAGUGAAAAUCCCCAGCAGGCUCUAUCCUGGUCACUGUGGCUCUGACUUCCACCAAGGGAGGGACAAAAGUGUGGUGAGCACACAUGCCGAUGGUGGUUAUGAAUUACUGCCUUUAGUAGGAACCUGUUGCCUGCCAAUGAGUAUCAGCAAAUGGUCUGAGUUAAUGCAUCAAAGUUUUUCAGAACAUUGCACCUCUCAUCUACAUAGUGCAGAGUGGAAGAAGCCUGUUAACUAUGCUUUUGUUUGUAUUUUUGUUUAGUUGGUAGCUUGGAGUAUCUGCCAGGAAAGGCAGCUGCCCUUAGGGAGGGAGGUACCUCGGUGCCACAGGGACGGCUGCCUGUGAAGAUUUCUGGCACCAAGUCUCUCUGCAGUUUUUGUUUUUUAUUUUUUAAAUAAUUAAAUUAAGACUUAUUUUUGAAUAAGUAAUAUCUACGUAGAGUACAAAAUUUAAAAGGAAUAAAAGGGGUGCAGGAAACAUAAAUAUUCCUUCUUCUCCCCCUAUUCCCAUCCACCCAUUUUCCUUCCCUCAAGGCAACCACUGUUACUAGUUUCUUCUGCAGUUUCCAGAGAUAUUCUAAGCAUAAAUCAGUGCAUGUACCUAACGCUCCAAACAUACUAACCAGUUUUUUUUUAAAAAAACACAAAUGUUAACAUACUGUAUCAACCAGAGUCCUGACAGAAAACAGAUGGCACACACAAAGUGAGUCAUUUGAGUAGAGUUUAAUAAAUGGACUGUUUACCAAGGUGUAGGAAAAGCACAAAGCCAGCAACAGUUGAGCGAGAGGGCACAGUGACAUAGUGUGAGCAACACUGCCAGUUGAGGAGCAUUCCAGGGAGGUGUAGGGGGGCAUAAUCACCUGUCCUUCCUCUCCUCCCUCUGACCUUUUGCUGCAGCACCUCAUGGGCUGCACUCAAGCUAAGCCAGAGAACAAGAGUCUAUUGAUGCAGUUUAAAGAGGUCAUCUGGGGCAGGGAACAGGUGGGGAAGGGCCGAGAGUGGAUAAGGAGGGCAAAUGUGGGCACUCAGCUCAUGCACUCAGCUCCUCAUCCUGUUCUUUGCUGUUUUCCACUUCACAGUCUGUCUGUACAUACAGCAUCAUUCCUUCUGCUAGCUUAUUCUAUUGCAUUUCUGUCGUGCAAUACCAUGCCACAUGCAAGAGACUGAAUUGUGACCCCUACCCCAAUUAUAUGUUGAAGUCCUAACACCCAAUGUAACUGUAUGUAGAGUGAAGAAGUCAUUAAAGUUAAAUGAGGCCAUAAGGGUGAUGCCUAGAAUAAGGCUUAUUAAGAGAAGACACCAGAGCUCUCUAUCUGUCAUGUGAGGACACAGCCAGAAGAUGGCAGUCUGCAAGCCAGGAACUCAUCAGAAAACCCAGCAGCAGGAACCUUGAUCUUGAACUUCCCAGUCUCCAGAACUGGGAGAAAGAAAUGUCUUCUCUUUAACCCACCCAGUUCAUGGUAUUUUGUUAUGGCAGCCUGAGCUAAGACACCACACACACACACACACACACACACUCAUAAUAUAUCACAAAAAUAAUAAUAUAUACAACCAUAUAUUCAACUAGUCCCUCACUGAUGGCCUUUUAAGAUAGUUUCCAAUUUUCUGCUAUUACAAACAAUGCUGCAAGGCAAAUCCUUUUACUGCCAUUUCACUGGUAAGGAUACAUACAGAAUAAAUUCCGUAGGAAUUUAUUUAUAGGAACGGAUUGUUGUAUCAAAGAAUGUAUGCUUUAAAAAUGUUGAUAGAUUCAGCCGCAGCACCCUGCAUAGAAUUUGCACCAAUUUGCAUGCACAUCAGCAAUGUAUAAGAUUCCCAUGCAGUUUUUAAACAUCUGGGUUUCAAAGACAUGAAUAAACUUAUUACAGCAUCUUUCCAGCAGUGCCUGUCACCUUACAAGACAUAAACUUUUCUUGUUUUUGAAAUUAUGAGAACAUAUUCUCCUCUUGUUUUCUGUCCUGUCUUUCAGCUUUUUUCAGCAGGGAUAAAAUUCCUCCACUCCUGAAUGAAAUUCUUAUGGUUUUUCUUUGGGCACAGUUCUGACUCAUUUUGUCAUAAAUUAACAGCCUCAGUUUAGAUGUUAAGUAUCCAGUUUUUCUUUCUGGGCAUGAACAAGCCAAUUAUAUAUGAAAACAUACCUUAGAGACAGUUAGGAAACCCACAUAUGUACAGGUACCAGGAGAUGCCCAGGAAUCAUCAUUAAUCCCACAACAUUGCUGUGACAUGCAGGAAAACAUCCUUAUUCUAUGAAGAGGCAGUCUGAAGCAUCCAGAAAUGUGAAACACCACGUCUUCAAUCUACCCCAACACUUCAGCAAAAACAAGAUGAAGCAAAUAUGCAAAACAGUAACAAUCAUUACAUCUAGGUGAUGGACACCUUCCUUUAUGUUCAACAACUCUCGUAAUAAAAAACUUAGAAGAGAUGUCUAGCCAAGAUAAUAAUCAAUACUUCACACUUCAUCCAUAGGUCAGGAAUCCAGGACUGGUUUAGCUGGGUGGUUCGCGCUCAGGGUCUCCUGUGAGGUUGCAGUCAGGAAGAUGGCCAGGGCUGCAGUCACCUGAAGUCUUGAUGGGCUGGAGGAGCUACUUCCAAGAGGGGUCACUCAUGUGACUGUGCCUCAGUUUCUCUCUGGCUGUUAUCAGGAGACCUCAGUUUCUCACCAAGUAGGCUUCUCCAUAAGGCUGCCCAAGACAGAGCAACUUCAAGAGAGCAAGAAAGAAGCCAUGCCUUAGCCUUGGAAGCGACAUGUCAUCAUACUUGCCAUAUGCUAUUGGUUGCACAGAUUAAUCAUGGUACAAUGUUGGGGAGAACAAGGGUGUGAAUACCAAGAGACAGGGACCACUAGGACCAUCUUGGAGCUAGCCACCACACCUAUUGAUGUCAUCCUGCACGUCCUCUCAGCUGUCAAUAUAAACUAUGCUUCAUGGACUCGUGCUCCACAGAGUUGUAUUCCAUGGGAGAGAAUCCGUCUGUGGUCUUAAGUGUGGCACUUUGUAUAGAGCUCCCAUGACAUAAGCAACUGUAUCUCAGAAAAAGACUCCAUCUUACAUUUCAAAAGGCCUCUUGCCAAAAGAGAACAGAUAUUUUGCCUAAUCAAUAAAGACUACAUCCAACCAGAUAAGGACAUAACCAAGCACACUCUUCCACUAUCAGGUCUCACCAGAGGACUCUGGGGUGGCCAUUAAAAGAGCAGGACUUCAGCAGCUUGAAAGUCCUCCUUAACAGACACCGUCUUGCUGUCACUUGUGAUAUGCAUCUGGCAUCUUCCACCCAAAGCUCUGCCAAUAUCAAAGACUCUUCCUUGCAAGACCAACAGCCAUCACAGGACAGACCAGAAGAUUAUUUUUGUCUACGUUGGUCACCUGGGCUGGUUCAUUAAUGUUUUUACUAUCCCUUCUCUCUUGAUGAUAAAUGUUACUUUGUUUGUUGUGGAAUAUUUAAUUUAUAACAUUUACAUAUUGAUCAAGUAUACUAUUAUGUAUGCUUUGCAAUAAUGACUGAUUUCCUGUCCACAGGCUUGGGCAUAUGUGCCCAUGGCUCUGACAACUGAGUGAAUGAGAAGUACUAAGGAGAACUGCCUUCUCGCUGAACUCCAUGUAGCUCAUGUCUUUUAUGUUUGAGACAGCUUCAGUAAAAGUCUGACGUUGUGG